CAGUGGUGAACCUAUAGGCCUUCAGUGUGUGACAGGUUAGUACAGUGGUGAACCUAUAGGUCUUCAGUGUGUGACAGGUUAGUACAGUGGUGAACCUAUAGGUCUUCAGUGUGUGACAGGUUAGUACAGUGGUGAACCUAUAGGUCUUCAGUGUGUGACAGGUUAGUACAGUGGUGAACCUAUAGGUCUUCAGUGUGUGACAGGUUAGUACAGUGGUGAACCUAUAGGCCUUCAGUGUGUGACAGGUUAGUACAGUGGUGAACCUAUAGGUCUUCAGUGUGUGACAGGUUAGUACAGUGGUGAACCUAUAGGCCUUCAGUGUGUGACAGGUUAGUACAGUGGUGAACCUAUAGGCCUUCAGUGUGUGACAGGUUAGUACAGUGGUGAACCUAUAGGUCUUCAGUGUGACAGGUUAGUACAGUGGUGAACCUAUAGGUCUUCAGUGUGUGACAGGUUAGUACAGUGGUGAACCUAUAGGUCUUCAGUGUGACAGGUUAGUACAGUGGUGAA
ensembl:lncRNA